ACAAGGCUCCGCACAGGACCCUCCGGACGACGGUUCAGUACCCGGCACGCGACAAGACUGGCCAAA
rnacentral:ncRNA from 1 species